rnacentral:tRNA from 1 species
GGGCUGAUUUAGCCAAG